GAAAAAAAUAAUUUCAGAACCAUUCAUUAAUUCAACAAACAUUUAUUGAGCACCUACCACAUACCAGAAUUUUGAAAUCGGUAUUGCUUUUGGGGAUUUAUUUUUGUAGUUUGGAUUUCAAUUUGAGUUUGAAUUCUAGGUUUGCAGCCUAUCUAGCUGUGGGAGAAUGAACAAGUCCUUUAACAUCUGUAUCUCAGUUUUUCUGCCUAUAAAAUGGGAAUAAUAAUUGCACCUAAUAACGUUGCUGUAAAAUUUAAUAAUAUAAUCACACAAAACGCUUACAAAAAAAAGAAGUUUCUGCUUGUGAAGGGCACUUCAAAUGAGGUCUCCCAUAUCCCUUUACGGAUAUGUGUCUCUUCUCCUUUGCCAUUAGGAGUAGUUACGUGGGCCAGUUUGGGAACUCUGUGUGCCAAGAAUUAUGCUAGAUGAUGAGGAUACAGAGAUGACUAAAACACAGGCCCUGAUCUCCAGGAUCUUAUAAUGAGGGAAAGAAAACAUUCCCAAGUAGACACUGAAUUCCUGGAGGAUAGGGAACCAUCCCCUAAUUGUCAUUGAGUAAAUUAAACACACAGCUUUCUCUUCCUAUAAUGAUCAGUUAACAAACAUUGCCUGAGCUCCUUGCCCUGUGGGCAAGGCUGUGCUGGCAAGGCUGUGCUGGGUGCUGGUAAUACAGCAAUAAAUCAGUCACAUGCCAAUCCCUCAGGUGGACCUUCUGGUACGGGAAAAAUCAAUGGAGCAGAGACUCACUAGACCCUGAGGGCACUGCACUCAGCUGAGAAGCACUAGAAGCAAAGAUUUGCAGAGGAAGUGAGUUCCAAAUGGGGUGACAUUUAAGACAGAAUCACCCUGCUUUGGGAAAUAUAUCACUUCAACAACAACAAAAAGCAGUGUUACCAACUAUGAAAUGAAAGGAGAUGCCCUUUUGUUUUGUUUCACUGAAGUGAGUUUUUAAAUUAUACUUUUGUAUGUAAAAAAAUUUCUUCAUGGAACCUGUGACAAAACCAUGACAAAUAGCCCCAGACUAAAUUUAAAUUCAUUGGGAUGGCAGUGGCUCCGAGGGUUUCUAUGUUCUCUGUCUUUAAAUUUUUUUGAUUGUCAUAAAAAAUACAUAACAUAAAAUUUGCCAUCUUAACCAAAGAGGGUGGUAGGAAACUGAUUUUGUGAUGCAUAUCUAAACACACACCUGGAAGAUAUUAAUGUAUCGAGACUGAAGGAGCCCGAGAGAGCAAUUUUUUGUGGGAAAAAUUGAUGUACUAUGCAACUUCUUCUACCACUAAAAUGGAGGAAGAGAGAAGGUUCUAUCAUUCACCUUAAGCCAAGUAUGAAAGGGUGCUUUAGUAAAACCACUAAGAGAGCUUGGCAUGUGAACCUGGAGUUUGAGGGGGCUGCAUAAAUUCUGGCAAGAGAAACUGGCUGUGUUGAACUAGAGUGGAAGAUUAUAGAGAGAAAAAGCUACAUACAGAGUAAAUUGCUUCUCACUGACAAGAGGGCAAGAAUGUGUAUUGUCUGUGACCAAAUUUGAAACACAUGUGAAGGUGAUUGCUUGGCGCCAUUUUGAAUUUUGCCCAAGCAUAAUUGAAUUUACCUGGGUUCAUGGUAGGUCCCAGUGGAGAGUCUGUGGGCUGGAAUAGUCCAAUGCCCAGGAACUGAGGGUAGAAACUGUAAGUUGACAGCCAGAGAAAAUGCAUCAUGCAAAAACAAGUUGAAAGGCCUCAGCAGUUAUCUCUGAGGAACCUAUGUAUUUGCCUCAUAAGAUGAAGAAUUCAUCACAUCCAUAAUGCACCAAGAUCAGCUAGCGUCUUUUACCAGUUGUGAUGGUUAAUUUUAUGUGUCAAUUUGACUGGGCCCAUACAUUUGGUCAUACAUGAUUCUAGGUGUAUCUGUGAGAGUGUUUUGGAUGAGAUUAAUAUUGGAAUCCCUAGAUGGAAUAAAGAAGAUGGCCCUCCCUAACGUGGGUGAGUCCCAUCCAAUCAGUUGAACACCUGAAUAAAAUAAAAAUACUAACCCUCCUGUGAGUAAGAGGGAAUUCGUCCUGCCUGAUUGCCUUCAAAUGGGGACAUUAAUUUUUUCCUGUCUUCAGACUUGAACUGAAGCAUCAGCUCUUCCUUGUCUUGGGCCUACUGGCCUUCAGACUGGAAAUACAUCAUCAGCUCUCCUGGGUAUCCUGCAGAUCUUGAGACUUGUCAUACUCCAUAAUUAGAUGAGUAGCCUAAAGCUCAAAGUGAAAACUUUCCCAAGAUCACACACCUAGCAAGUGUUGGAGUUCAGCUGCUAUGCAAACUGAGAAGGACCAAAGGUAUUCUUAGAUAAAGUAAGUAGUAGUAUUUACAGCACUUUUGAAUCUGGGAGAAAGUGAAGUACAGACAGAUUAGUAAACAAAGAACUGUGAAUCCUUAGAUGGCUCCACCAACUAAUCAAUUCGAGUCGAUUAUUGCCUUCCCAGUUCUGAAUUAGGAUGCUUGCUUGCAGUGUGACUUAUUUAGUCAGCAUUAUUUUACGACUCUACAAUUUUCUCUCUUUAUCUGAAAUGAUCCAGCCUAAAACUCCCUGAAAAUGCCGGGCAUUAAGUAUAUCACAAUGGUAAUUCUUUUGACUGAAGCCUUAUUUGAUUCAGUGGAAAAUGACUUCAGUGUAUUGGAUUUACAGUUCAUUUAAUGAGUGUUGUAGAGGUCAAUACAUUAGUGUAAACUUGGUUCAGGUAGUAAUUUGGUUUCUAAUGAGGUUCCCAAGCAGCAUCCUACUAUGAAAAGUAGGAUAGUGCUCAGUGGGCAUAGAAUAUAACUGUCUAAUCAGACAUAAGAAAUGUGCCAGUUGUAUACUACAAUAAUGCUAUGAUUGUUUGACUUCUUUAGGAUUCAGUUUCCAUUUCUGUAAGAUGAGCAGGUUAAACAAAGGCCCUUGAAGCUCUGAACUGUUUUGUAUUUUCUCGGUAAUCUUAAGAAAUCUCCCAUCUUUAGGACAUGUGCUUUGUAAUGGAGAUGGAUUUGCAUGAGCCAUUUGUGCUGUGAUAUGCACUCCAUACCAAAACCAUGGCUCCACAAAACCUUGUCUGACAAUUGAGUUGUGUUUCUGAAUGUCUUGCAAGCAAGACAAUGACUGCUUGUUGUUCUGGACUAUUUUCUUUAGGAUGUUUAUAUAGGGAAAAGCUUGGCAAUAUGGAGAUAAUGUCUAUGGAACAAAGGGAAGGCAUGCUUACUGCCUAUUAUGAAUGAUUCUAUAAGCUCAAGUUCUCUAAGUUCAGGGUGCCUCUCCUGUAAUGCAACCCACUUCAUGCACAGAUGACAUUUGGUCCUCCUCACAUUGCCCUGUUGGAAUCUGCACUCCAAAACCAAUGCAAAAAUGACGAUACUCUGGCCACUGCUGUUGCUGUGAGUGAUAAAUUUUCUUUCAUCUGUCAUCUAGGAGUCUCGUAUUUACUACUGGUAUCCAUGAAACUGUAGUAGGCCAACUUGCUAGUUUGAAAGUAGAGUAAAAUCUCAGACCCUUCAAGGUCCUUGACAACCCUAGUCCACAGUCACUUUCCUCUUUUAUUACCACUAUAGCACCUAGCCUCUGAACAAUCCAACUCAAAACACAUUAUGUCUUUUGUUGAAUUGUUUUACAUGUUAAUUUUAUCUCCCAACUAGAUCAUAAGCAUGCGAGAGAGGCACCAUGCCAAUGUUUUUUCUGUCUACCCUGUAGCAGCUGGCACAGGCAUGGGUACAUAGUACGGGCUCAAUAUAUAUUUUUGAUUUACUUUGGUUAUAUGCAUACCAGCUGAAGUAAAAUACUCCAUGCUUUUUAUCAUUGAACUUGCCUUGGAUGUCUUCUUAUAGUUGAAAACAAUAGAUGUACUCUCCUAGAAAUAGAAAAGCUCUAAUGAGAGAUGAAGAAACCAUUUUUCAGGCUUCUAGGAUGCAAGGCAUAUACAUUCUUUAAUCAGUUGGACAUCAUUGACUAAGGGGCCAAUUACAAAGCUAUUCUGAGUCCCACAUUUCCCAAGAUGUUUGUUGUGCUGGGCUGCUAAUAAUUAUCAUGUUUUGGCAGCUGAAGAACUAGAAUAUAGUCUCUGUUUUUGUAGAAAUCAAUGGCCCCAGGAGGUUAUCUAUACCAGCCUACUGUCUGCAACAUCAGUGGGAGCUUAUUUGGCAUUUGAUACCAAUCCCAGAAGAGGAUAUGAAUCCCUGAGUGCAUUUCCCAAUGGCACACGCUCGCUUCUUGUUUUCUUGUAAGUAUCCUAUUAUUAAUGGCCCAUUAUACCAGAAACAAAAAUGUCUAUAUACGCAUUUUCAUUUAGUCUGUCAUUGUUUCCAAUGGUCUGGAUUAUUCGAUUAGUCUCAAUCCAGUUUUCUUUGAGGGAAUAUGGAGACACAAGAGUUGUCUGUCUUUAGUGCUAAAACAUUAAAACUUAGGGCUCUUUCUUAUGGCUAUAGCCUUGAAGAUGCACUCCUUAGCUCCAUAACAUUGUGUUCUUUUCUUUUCUUUUCUUUCCCUUUUCUUUUCUUCUUUUCUUUUCUUUCUUUUCUUUUCUUUUGUUUUCUUUUUUUCUUUCUUGUUGUCAGGACUGCAACACACUCUCAAUUCAGUCUUCCUGAGUGCAACUGAUACAAUUUUACAGAUGUGGCAUGGUCAUCAUUUUCUAACUUUAGCUUUGCUAAUCUGGCAUUUUCUAACUUUAGUUUUGUUAAUUCAGGCUGUUCCUUCUCACUUAAAAAUAUUUCCUCUUAUUUGAAUUUGAGUAUGCUGCCACCAAGUGGUUGCCCGUUCUUUGAUUAACAUGGUCUCAUAAUUCAAACUGCAGGCUGCACUGUUUCUAUUGCUGUUGUUGGUGUAUGUGUCAGGAUUGGGAUAGUGAAUGCCUAUUAAUAGUUGAAGGUAUCAGGUAUUAGAGGGAAUUAGGGCAAAUCUUCAUGAAACAGCAGGAAGAUAUUGAAAAAUAAAAAUGGGCUGUAACUUGAGGAGGGGAGAGGAAGGGCAGUAUGUGUCCAAAGAAUGAGAUCAGGAUUAGAGGAGAUGUGGAGUAGAGGGAACAGAGAAAUAAUAGGAAAAAGGGAAAAUGACCCAGAUUUAAGAGAACUUGAUCGCUGAAACAAUUUUCAUCUUUUGUUUCUGUACUUCCUAUGGUUCUUGUACUUAUUAGGGACUACAAAUACCAAGAUAGAUGCAUUAUCUUGAGCAGGAUUCUGUCUUGUAUAUAUUUGUAUCCCUCACAGUGUCUAAUGUAGUGCUGGGCACAUAGUUGGUUCUUAAUAAAGGUCUGCAUGAAUGACCCAAACCUGCAAGAGUUGAGACAAUAUAUAGUGUAGGCAAGGGGUGCUGGCUUGAGGCACAGGGGCAGCUCCUAAUGAGCAAGCCUUGACAGUGUCUUGCCUCUAUCAAGCUGAUGCCUUGCACAACUUUAGCUGGCUCCUAUGAUCAAUCUUCCAAAUUAGAACCUUCUCCAAAUCUUCUCAGGAAGGUACUUACAUGCCCCCUCCUUCCUCCUCCACUACCUUCUCCAUUCUUUCCUCUUCUCCCUCCUCCUCUCCUUCCUCUACUCCCUCCUUUUCUUCCUCCUCUUCCUCUUUCUCCCCUUCCAAGGCUCUUGAUGUCUUCAUACCUCUGAACAAGUCUGGGUGGUUGGAAACAGAUGACCUCUGGAAGCUUUUGAUUGGAGGAUGAGAGAUCUAGAGUUCUUUCCAUUCGUAAGAUGUAUAGGGAAUGACUGUAUAGGGCUUUCAAAAAAUGCAUAUGAAAAUUGGGGAUUGUUCUAUGUAAGAUGUUUGCUGAAAUUAAUACCUUAGACACAGUCUCCAGAAAGGGGUUUACUCCUGCAUGAUAACAUGCAUGCUAUGUUAUCUUUGGCCUUGGCUAGUAUAUGUUCACAUGACUACUUUUUUCAAGAUACACACUCCCAGAUCUCAAUCUUUACCCAAAUAUUAUAAUUCAUGAAUAUCUGGUGAAAGUGUCCUGUGUGCACUUCCCCUAAUGCAGAAAUGAAAUCCUUGAAGACGAUUGUUUUAGUAAGCAAGUAUGACCUUAGUCACUUGUUUACUUGCUUUAGUAAGACCUGUUUGGCACCAUAAACAUCCACAUAUCUAACACAGAAUUUCCCAGGGAGGUUCCACGUGGAGCAGUAUAGCAUGGUGGAUAAGUGUGAGGGCUUGGGACUACUGACUGCUCAAAUUUUACCUCUGUUGUUUGAUGUUGGGCAAGUCAAUUAAUCUCUCUCUGUGCUUCAGUUUACUAACCUGUAAAAAAGGCUAAUAUAAAUUACCUUACAUGGCUGUUAUGAAGGUUAGGUUAAAUGACAAAACACAUGUAGUGUGCUUAAGCACAGUGCUUAGCAUAUAAUAAGUAUACAAUUAUUGGUAGUUAUUAUAUAAAUUUCUUCCUUGAACAUAAACUUUGGGAAGUGAUGGCCCUGGAUAGUGUCUCUCUUACUAUCAUGUCCUUGUGCUCAGCUUCUGAGGCUUAUGAAGAUGCCCUGGGCACAGAGACUCAGGCUGUCUCCUGGCCCACAGAGUGCGGAACAAGUGGGAGCUUGUAAGCUAAGUAGGAUGUCAUUUUGAGUCACUGCUGCUCUAAUCUCUUUAGACAGUUCUGAAGAACAAUUGGAUUCCCUUCAGUUUUAAUUUCCCUACCUUCUCAGAUAAAUUUUCCAAAUGUCCACUUCCCAUUUCUUCGAUCAAAGCCAGAGUUGAAGGAAGCUGGCCUUCAAUCUCCAACCAGGCUGAGAGCACCAUUUGAGCUCAAGAGCAAAUUGUAUUGGAAAAGAAGCAGAACCACUGACUAAAAUGAAUUGUCAUUAAAUGAGGCUUUAAAUGAAACCACAAGGCAGAGCCUCAUCCUAAUUGGCAGUGGAGUUAAUCGGGUAAGAGGCCAAUUCCAGAUGUCCCAUUGCAGAACUUUUAAAACUCGCUCCCUGCUUCUUUUACUUUCUGCCCCUAACCACCUCUUUCCACCCUCACACCGCCUUUGAAAGAUGAUGAUCAUUGGGCAAAGAUAACACUGAACUAUUUAACAUCUUUUUAAAAUCUAUAAUCUAUAAAUUGAAUGCAGGAAUAGAAAAUGUCAGAACCAUGAUACAAUUUGAAAUGUUUCAUGUGGUAGGGUGGAUAAUGGUACCCCAAAUAUGUCCAUGUUCUAAUCCGUAGACUGAAUAUGUUACUUUACAUGCAAAAUAAACUUUGCCUAUGUGAAUAAGGUAAGAAUCUUGGUACAGAAGGAUUAUCCCAGAUUAUCCAGGUAGGCUCAGUGUAAUCACAAGGGUCCUAAUGAGAGAGAUGAGGAAAGAGUCAGAGGCAGAGGAGCAGAUAUGAUGACAGAAGCAGAGAUUGGAGUGACGACAUAGAAGGUGGAGGAAGGGGCCAAAAGCCGAGGAAUACAGGCAGGCACAGGAAGCCACUUGUCAGCUGAAAGAGACAAGUAAAUGGAUUUUCCCUUCCAAGCCUCCAGAAGGAACUAGCCCUGCCUGCACCACAACUUUAACCCAGUGAGACCCAUUUCAGACUACUGACCUCCAGAACCAUAAGAAAAUAAAUCUGUGUUGUUUUAAGCCAACUGUCUCCCAAAUACUCCCAGAUAUGCUGUAGAGCUGGAAAUUUCCCAAAUUAGAAGUAUUGCUUUGGAUGAUAUCAAUGAAGGACACAAUUGUUAAAAAGCUUCCACUGAAAUGCAAAGGGAAAUGUGUUAGGCAACAUUCAACCUGUUAUGCCUUGAUCUGACUGGCUGGCAGAGAGCACGGAAGAGGACCCAAGAUGCAGGGAUUUCUGGGCCUUGGGGCAUGAAAUUGAUGGGUGGGAUCUGUGUGGCUGGAUGCAGCAAGUGAUGCCUGGGAUGAGAGGAUGCCACAAGGGAGAGAGCCUGAAAACAAAAUCCCAUUUAUCACACUUCUUCUUGAGUUUUCACCCAGUGAAAAACUCAAUGCUUCGGAUGUGAGCAUCACCUUUGUCACUAAUCCAGCUUCAAACCUGUUCCAUAAAGCUCCUGGUAAGCUUAAAGAAAGAAAUAGCUUUUUGCGCUUAUCUAGACUCACAAACUCUCUGACUUGAGACUGACUUCUCUUUGGUCUACCCUUGUAGGAUUUGGUCUCCUUUUGGUAUUCCAAUGUCUUCCAACUUCUACUGCCUAUUUUGGACUCCUGGUCUCCUCUAACUUCAGCUCUUUGGGCUGCCUGCCAGGCACAUUUCUGUUCUUUCUCAGAGGCUUGAGUGUCCUCCUUCCAAGAAUUCUUUGCCCUAACCUGUAAACCAUUGCCUCCCAGCCCCUGGCACCAAAGCCACCAUUAGACCCUGAUUAGGAGACCUCUCAGAUUCUUUAUGAGAUGACCCUGAGAGGCAAUUAUCCUCCACACUGCACACUUUCCAGAGUACUUUGGCCUUUAUAAUAAGAAGUAGCAGAUUUACAGAUGAAGGAUCUUCAAUCCCAAAACCUGCUCUCUCUGUCUGCAACGAACAUACUCCAUCACUUGCUUUUCCCUACCUCUGAUCUCACUCCCAGAGCACUGCAACGAAAGUCCAGAAAAGUGAGGGUCUUUGAACCCAUUAGUAGCUCCCCAAGCCCCAUAUCCACUUGUAGUUUGAUGAAAAUGAGAAGCAUGGAUCUGAUCAGUUGGGCCUUUAUAGAUGCAUGUCAGAUCCACAUGAAUAAUAUGAUCUUCGAGCAACCCAGAAAGGAGAGAGUUUCUGUUUCUCAAGUCCCUUGCCUCAGAGUCAAUACAGUGAUACCAUCCAAGAAAGGAUCUGUAGCCUAGGAUAUAUAACAGAUUCACUUAUUAUGCUGUCAGGACGCCUGAGGCAAAUCCAUCCAAAUGUGAGUGCUGACUUCUUAGGAACUGGACAAGUGAGCUCAGGUACUGUAAAGGAGCACCUAUGACUUGUUUACCAGGUCUAAGUUGCACAAUCACAAGAGCCCAAGAAUAUCAAAUAAUCCACAUCAAAUUUUCAAACAGCCAGACAUGAUAUGUUCUCAAUUCCCAGGCCACGUUUAUUAUUAAAUGAUGUUCUAGCCCUUUGACAAUACCUGCUAUUAGAACCAGGGCUUGGGUGGUGGUGGAACAGGCCACAGUGGCAUAGACAAGACCUGGGAAUUCAGGAAGUUUUCCUUGGUCAGGAGAAGUCUGCGGCUGGGACAAGUAUGAUGUAGUUUGGAUGUUUGUCCCCUCGAAAUCUCAUUUUGAAAUGUAAUUCCCAAUGUUGGAGGUGGGGCCUGAUGGGAGGUGAUUGAAUCAUGGAGGCAGCUCCCUCAUCAAUAGCUUAGCACCAUCCACUUGGUGAUAAGUGAGUUCUUGCUCAGUGAGUUUGCAUGAGAUCUGAUUGUUUAAAAGAGUCUGAGACCUCCCCCCACCUUUCUCCUGCUCUCACCAUGUGACAUACCUUGCCUGCUCCUGCUUUGCUUUCCUCCAUGACUGUAAGCUUCCUGAGGCCCUCACCAGAAGCCAAGCAGAUGUUGAUGCCAUGCUUGUACAGCGUACAGAAAUGUGAGCCAAUUAAACCUCUUUUGUUUAUAAAUUACCCAGUCUCAGGUAUUCCUUUAUAGUAAGGAUUUAAUUCCAAGGUUUAAUGAUUUGGUUAUUACAGGGUUGAGUACAUGGUGGUUUGACUCCAAAAGUAGGUUCAGAAUCAUAUCAGACCUAAGAGGGAUAAGAGCAGGUAAAAUGUGAGAAUAAGUUUCCACGGUGACAAACUGAACCGAGAACCUGGCUAUUGGCCAAGCAGGAGUGAGGCAGUUGACCAAUGGCCAUCUAAGUAGCUGGCAAUUGCCGGAGUUCAGAUUAGCAGCUGGUGAAUUAUCAAGGAAUGAUGGCAGUGGGUAUUAGGGAUUCAGUUCCAGAUUCAGAUUAGGAAACAGAUUUUUUUGUGUGUAGGAAAUCUAGUCCUAAUACUAGGAUACCAGGCAAGGAAUUAGACAUCGGGGAGGAAAGACAUGGAAGGGCUCCAGUUAUGAAGGUACAUAUAUUCUGUGUCAGUAGAAAAAUAUGACUCAGUGCUGCUUUGCUGAAUUAUUUUCUUCAAACGCUUCCUGAUUGGUGGCCUCUUCCAGCCUAUUAUUCACAAUAUAGCCAGAGUGAGCUUUUCAACACUCUAAGCUGAUCGCAUUGUUUUAAUUGCUCUUAGGAUAAAGACCAGAUGCGUUAUCAAUCUCUAGAAGGUUCUGCAUGGUUUGGCUCUUGCCUGCAUUUUUAGCCUCAUCUCCCACCAUUUCUCCUUUCACUCUUGGCACUCUAGCUGCACUGGUUUUCUAUAAAAUCCUCAGGUCUCUACUGUCUCUCAGAGCUGUUGCACAUUGUAAUUUCUUCUGCUCAGAGUGUAUGUUACCCCUUUUGUCAUCCUUCCAGUCUCAAUUUAAAUGUCACAACAUCAGGAAGGUCUUCUCUGAUUUGUUUGUCUAAAGAAAUGACCCCUUAUUCUUUAUAAUGGUUCUACUGACCACCAUCAUUUACACUUACAAGUCACACCCACUAACCUUGCCUACCAGGACCAGCGAGCUCACCACCUCCUGUGUACCACUUUCAUCAGUGUUACCUCCCCAAUAUCCUCAUCAUUUCAACACAAUUCCCCACUGUCAUGCACAUCACCACACCCUCUAGCUCCACCCAUCACCACCAACCUCAUCCACCCCUUCUAUAACCCAUGCUCCCCUUUGGCCCAUCUCUCUACCAGUCCCGAUUAGCCACACUCAAAAGCCCCACACAUUACCAUCAGCCACGCCAUCCUUUCCUCAUCAAGCAGUUCCAAACACUAGCAGCCCUACCCCACCACCUCUCCUGAUGAGCACGGGCCCUCCUGCUUACAGUUCAGGCAUCAGCCAGCUUCAGUGAUGUCUUCCUUGACCAUUCAGUCUGGAUAAGGUUUCCUUGUUUUCACUUCUCAUAGCCCCCUCCCUGCCCUUCUUCUUCAUAGUUCUGAUCACAAUGCUAAUCAUACAGUACUUUAGGUAACUGUGCUUAGUGGUCAUCACCCUCACAGGUUUAUGUCUAUUUAUUCAUUGCUAUUUCCCUUGUACCUAGACACACAGUAUAUCUAAAAAAAAUAAUGCUGAAUCUUGUUGUAUCAAGUGUUACAGAUUAAAAAGCCCAAGGCUCUAAUCAGCUAAAUAAUGUACUCAGGGUUGGAUGUCUAAGUGCCAGAGGUGGGAUUCAAACCCAGGUCUGGCUGACUAUAAAUCCUGUGGUUUCUUAACCGUUAUAUCAAUGGUUUUUGCCAGUCCAGCAGCAUCAGCUUCACUUGGGAACUCAUUAGAAAAUGAUAGACUGGAUUAAGAAAAUGUGGCACAUAUACACCAUGGAAUACUAUGCAGCCAUAAAAAUGAUGAGUUCAUGUCCUUUGUAGGGACGUGGAUGAAAUUGGAAACCAUCAUUCUCAGUAAACUAUCACAAGAACAAAAAACCAAACACCGCAUAUUCUCACUCAUAGGUGGGAAUUGAACAAUGAGAUCACAUGGACACAGGAAGGGGAACAUCACACUCUGGGGACUGUUGUGGGGUGGGGGGAGGGGGGAGGGAUAGCAUUGGGAGAUAUACCUAAUGCUAGAUGAUGAGUUAGUGGGUGCAGCACACCAGCAUGGCACAUGUAUACAUAUGUAACUAACCUGCACAAUGUGCACAUGUACCCUAAAACUUAAAGUAUAAUAAAAAAAAAAAAAGAAAUGCAAAUUCUCAGGUUCUGCCUCAGAUUUACUGAAUCAGAAACCCUGCAGGUGAGGCCCAGCACUUUGUGUUUUAACAGGUCCUCCAGGUGAUUCUGAGGCCCAAUCAAGUGUGAGAACCACUGCUCUACAUGACAUUUCCCAUUAUAUGGUUUCCACUUGGUAAAAGAUCCAUGUUGUUCUCGGUCUAUGCAAAUAGCCCUAAUGCUACCUAGCAUGGGGCUCAGUAUAUGAUAGGUUUUUAAUAAGUAUGUGUUGAAUAAGUGAAUUGAGCUCUUGGGUACACUAGAUUUUGAAAGACAUGAGUAGGGUUUUUUUUUUUUCAUCAAAACCACAGAGGGACAGUGAAAAUACCAUUGAAAGCCUAAUAUAAGGGACAUGACACUUGCCUGGAGAAAAGUUUUCAAAAUGAAAUUAUUUAUUACCUUCUCCUUUCCCACUCCUCCUUUCAGGUCAGUCUUUUCUAUGAAAAGAUCGUCUCUGACCCCUGUGGUUCAUAUUGAUAGCCCUCUUAUUUGGCUUCUUUGCAGCAUUUAGUGUAUCACUUAAGCUAUCCUUGGAUUAUAUGUGAUGAUGCAUUUUUUGAGUGUCUCAGAUAUAUAAAUCAUAGUCUCCAUAAUGAAACUAUAUUCUCUUUAGCACAUGGACUGUGUCUUUUCUUUUUCCUCUUCUAGUUUCUACCAUGGCCUUAAUAUAUAGUAAGAUGUUGGGAUAAUGUUUUAAUAAAUUCUCCUGUGUGUGUUUGUGUGUCUGUGUGUGUGCUUAUACCUAGUCCUUUCCAUAUUCAGCAAACACAUUCAUCACCUAAGAGAAAGGCUGUUAUAGUAGAAGAGCAGAAGACAAAAAAAAGUAAAUUUGUAGCCUUUGAGUUUUAAAAGCCUAUUUAGAAUUUCAGGAACUAGAGCUUUUGAGCUUCAAAGGCCCGAGUCCUAAAGAACCCAGAAAAUGCACUUCAUGACAUACACACUAGAUUUGAAAGGAUACAGGAUAAGUUAAAGCCUGUUUUCCUCUUCCCCAAACUAGAUGAAGAUCCUAUCAGAUAUGAGAAAAGUGAGAAUUAGAACAAAAGAGUGAGUCCUUAGUGAGUCCCUUAACAGAGGUGCUGUAACAUGAUGUUGUGGACUAAGACCCAAAUUGAAGAAAUAUGAAUAAUACAACCCUCAAUGGGGCAUGGGAGUAGAGAAAUCUGAGAGCAGAUGAGACUGUUUCUUGCCUCUCCCCAUAUAGAGGUUUUUGAACAGUUUCCCUGAACCUAGCCUGACACUAGAGCAGUAGUGUUGACUGCAUGUAUUCUAUGUCAGGAGACAGGGCUUGAGACCACCUCACAAUUCCCUAGACUCUGGGGAGGUAUUGGAAGAACCGAGUGUUUUCUAAAUACCCACAAGGACAUCUCGAGACCUGAGAGAUCUUAAUCUCAAGGCUAAGGAGGCACAGCAGUGAUCUGAGUGCUUCUGUAACUGAUGCCUGGGUGGAAUUUGAAUAUCCCUAGAACACAUGCAGAGAGAUAACCAAGGCCACACAUGACAAUACACCUCUCAGUGGAUUCCAGGGUGAACAACAGCAGGCAACUGAAGAUCAAACACUUUCUGCUUGUCUUAGCCACAAUCCCAGAGAUUGUGGGGAGUGCUUGAAUUGACUGGAGUUAAGGUUUAUACUACUUGGAGGAAUAGGUGCUCAAAAUAGACCGAGAUAUUAGAAAAACAUUCUUGUGCAUCUGAUUUUGUGAGUUGACAUUUCUUUUUUUUUCUUCUCUUCUCUCUCUUUUUUUUUUUUUUUUUCUGAGAUGGAGUCUCACUCUGUCACCCAGGCUGGAGUGCAAUGGCGCGAUCUCAGCUCACUGCAACCUCUGCCUCCCAGUUUCAAGCGAUUCUCCUGCCUCAGCCCCCCGAGUAGCUGGGAUUACAGGCGCACGCCACCAUGCCUGGCUAAUUCUUAUAUUUCUAACAAAGACGGGGUUUCACUAUGUUGGUCAGGCUGGUUUCAAACUCCUGAUCUUGUGAUCCACCUGCCUCAGCCUCCCAAAAUGCUGGGAUUACAGGCAUGAGCCACUGCACCCGGCCCACAUUUCUAUCAAUUCUAUCAAGGCACACUAUAUUUGGUCAAUUGGAUUGAAUUGAUGAACAAGAUCCUUUUUCCUGAGGACAACAUUGAGGAGAAAAGUGAAUCAGAAAACAAAAAGCUUAUCAGGUGUGGUGGCUUACGCCUGUAAUCCCACCACUUUGAGAGGCCAAGGCAAGAAGAUCGCUUGAGCAUAAGAGUUUGAGACCAGCCUUGGCAGCACAGUGAGACCUUGUCUCUACAAAAAAUAAACAAAAUUAGCUGGGUGUGGUGGCACACACUUGUAGUCCCAGCUACUUGGGAGUCUGAGGUGGGAGAGGAUCUCCUGAGCCUGGAAGGUUGAGGAGCAAUGAGCUGAGAUCAUACCACUACCACUACCACUGCACUCCAGUCUGGGCAACAGAGCAAGGCCCUGUCUCAAAAACAAAAAUAGAAGCUCCUGCUGGGGAAUUGGGUAAAUUAUUGAAGUGCUCCCUGAGCUGUCUUUGCCUCAAUAUGCUUUUAACCCAACACUUCUCAACUUUUCUAGUCCUUGAUAGUGACAGUGGUGUUCCAUAUACUAUGUUAUACCUAGUUAGGCAAAGUAGAGUCUAGCUAUAGCUACUCAACUACUUACUAAGGCAGGAGAGUUAACUCAGCAUUUCAGAGUCUUCAUACAUAUUCAGAGAUUGAAACAAGAAGUUUUAAAAUAACUCCCAGACUCCCAACUGUACAUGUAUUUACAAAUGUAUGACUUGAUCAUUGAUUUUUAGAAGGUAAACAGAACCAGACAAGUUCAUAUUUUUAACUAGGUUAUAGCCUGAAUAUUGUAUUCGGAAGGACCAUGUUAUUUAUUAAACUGUGUGAGGCUGCCAUGAUUAUGCUGUAGAUAGGCAGAGGUCUCCAGAGUCAAUUGGGGUUGUUGAAUCACAUUCAGCGAAUGUCCUUCCAUCUCAAUUGAAGAAGCUUGCUAUUGAGGGACUCCCCUGAAGUAAUCAAUUAAAAGCAGUAGCAUUAAGCAGCUAAUGGUGCUGAGAAAUCAAUACUGGUAUGGGGAAGGAACAAUUCCCUGCAAUGAUUUCUAUGCAAAUUCUGAUUCUUAUACCUAAUGACAUUAGGAUUCACUAAUGACACAUAACUCAAGGAAUUGCUUCUUUCCCAGUUAAGCAUGAAGCACAUUUUUGCCCCUACAACCUUGGCGGCCACUUGGGCAGCUUACUUCUGUUGCUGGGAAGCAAUAGAUAAAGGUAAGGCAGCCAAACUUUCUAUGGGUCCCUCUUGUGGGAGAGGAGAUCUGAUAGAAAUACUGACUUUCUGAAGAUUGGAAUGGGUUCCUGAAAGGGCGAGGACCAUUCAUUCUUUCAUUCAGUGAGCAUUUGUCUGCUCUGGCCCUGUGCCUUUAACUGCUCCAUCCCCACUCAUGACCAAGGUAGUCCUAUCAAAGAUACCUAUAGCUCAGCCCAAACUGCUUUGAGACUCUCUCUACUUUCUCCCAGAGUAGAUUCCACUACUUUCUCCCAAUAUUAAAUAUUGUAGUGGGCAUGCAUUUUACCCCAAAAUAUAGAGUGAAAUAAAUAUUUCUUUUAUUCUCUAAAUAUCAAUCUGCUCAGAGACCAUACCCUCCCCCCAGAUUUGAUAGAACAUUUAAUCUCAGUCAUUGUGGAGGCCUCCAUGUCCAUGUUAAGUACUAAGCAUUUGGACCAUCACAGGGAAUCCUCAGAUCUUCAGUUUUUCACACUGGCCAUCACUGACAUACUCAUUGUCCAAGCCUGUAUGGUCUCUUCAAGGCUAGCAGCUCUGCUGCUUCUGGACCAAGCUGAGGCACAGGGGAUUCUGUCCAGGCUGGGAGUCCUGAACUGGUUUGGGUCUAGUCUUUCUUGGAUAUCACAUUGCCAUUUUUCUCCGAUGUCCUGUCACCUCCCUGGGCACUGUCAAAGAACAGGGUGUCUAUAUACUCUACUUGUAGAAUCUGUAAAACUCCAGUAACCCUGUCUGUUUUGAGAAUACUGUCUUGAAGCUCUUAUAGGUACUUCUAUAUCUCUGUUUUCCAAACCUCAGAGCCACUUCCAUUGUAGAACAGUAAUUUAGCUCUUUGUUUCCUCUUGCCUUGGCUUUAGAACUCUGCAUCCUCUUAACUUUGAUCUGGAGCAGUCGAAUCUUUGGGUCAUAUUGCACCAGGUAGGCUGUGUGCAUGUACGCAAGUAUAUGUGUGUGUUAUGGGGAGGGGUGCUCAUUCUUUCUGAGUUUUCCCUUUCUCAUCCUCCCUUCUCUUCCACCCCCUACACCUAGCAAACUUAUAACUAUCCUUCAAGUCUCAGCUUAUAUGUAGUUCUUUCAGAUUAGUUUGUCAUGCUCCUCUACUCUAAAUAGUCCCUUUUAUACACAUGUAUAGCACCCUGUAGCUAUUCUAUGUAGCACUUGCCAUAAUGGUAAUGAGUUAUCAGGGUGAUUGUUAAUGUUUGUUUUUUUCCCAUGUGUUUGUAAGCUCCAUGAUAAAAGGGACUGUUCUUUUUUGUUCAUUGUUAUGUCCCUAUCCCCUCAUAAAAUAUCUGACAUUUAGAUGUUGUAAACAAAUGUUGAAUAAAUGAAGUGAUAUCUUUCCAUAUUUUAGAAGUAACAACAGAGAAAUGAUUUUCUAAUUUUUCAUUCUUUAAAUUUAUAUGGUGUUGAUAGCUUGUACAAUGAAAAUAGAUAGUACAUGCACUAUCAUAGCAAAAGAGUUGGCAUAAAGUUGUUUGUACUAUCUUCCUCUUAUCUUUUUAACACAUAAUAUCUGUAGUGAUGUCUCCUUUUUCAUUCCUGAUAUUUCAUUCCUCAUCUUGGUAAUUUGAGCCUUCUCUCUUGGUCUUUAUUGAAAUACAGUAAUUAUAUUCAUCUAAAACAUCAUUAAGAUAAUGAAAAGGCAAAUUAGAGUGGGAGAAAAUAUUUAUAAUAUACAUAACUUGCAAAGGACUUGUGUCCAGAAUAUAUAAAUAACUCCCACGGAUAAAUAAAAAACGACAGAUAACCUAAUUAAAAAUUAAGGACUUGAUCAGGUAUUUCAUCAAAUAGUAUACUGACAUGUUUAGCAAGCAUCAUUAGUCAUUGGGGAAAUGCAAAUUAAAACCACAAUGAGUGACCACUACACGUUUAUCAGAAUAGUUAUCAUUAAAAAGACAAACAACAGCAAGUAUUGCCAAGGAGUGGAGUGAGUGGAACUCUCAUAUGCUGUUGACUGCAGUGUAAACUGGUACAACUACUUUGGAAAACUGGCAGUAUCAAUUAAAGUUGAAUAUAUGUGUACCCAAUGACCUAAUAAAUCCAUUACUAUGCAUAUACCCAACAGAAAUGCACACAUUUGCACCAAAAGAUGUGCAAAAUGUUCACAGCAGCAUUAUUUGUAAUGGCACCAAACUAAAAAUAAUCUAAAUGUUCAUCAACAUUAGAAUGGAUAAAUUGUGGUAUAUUCAUACAAUGGAAUAUCACACAGCAAUUAAUAAGAAAAAAAUACUACAACACCAAGCACAAUGGAUGAAUCUCACACAUAUAAGAUUGAAUAAGAAGCCAGAGAUAAAAGAGAAUACAUUUAUAUCAAGUUCAAGCACAGGCAAAAUUAAUCUAUGGUGAUAGAAAUUAGAAUAAUGAUAGAAGACCAAGAGAAACAUGAGAGAGACUUUUGGAAUACUGAUAAUGCUCUGAGUCUUGAUCUAGGUGAUGGUAACAUAAGUGUGCUUACUUUAUAAAAAUUAAUCUGUAUAAUUAAGAUUUACAUUUUUUGUAUGUUAUAUUUCAAUAAAAGUUUAUAACAAUAGAUAGAAUAAAUGCAUUAAAAGAGAGAGUGACACUGGAUGAAUUUUAAUGUUCCUUCUAGUUCUAACAUGCUAUGAAUUUAUGUUUGAAAAUUUUUUGAAAAUAAUAAAAUCCUUGACAAGUAUAAGGUCUUUUAUGAUUAUCAGUGGUAGUUGACCCUGAAUUCCUCAUGAUUUCCUGAUCAAGUCAUGAAAAAUAAUUUGCUUAAAGUUUUAUAUCUUUGUUUCCCAUAUGAAAAUGUAAGUUACCUCCCUUUCUGGAUCUUCUUCAUUUCCUAGUUUCUUUGGAAUUUUUUGGUGAAGACAUUGAAUGAACCACCAGAGGCAAAUACCAUGGAGAGUAAUCCUGAUUACUCGUAUAGUUUGAGUUGGCAAGAAUGAUGGCAAAGCCCCUGAAUGCAAAAUGCAAGGUUUAAGGAGAAUGCUUCAGGAUUCCUUUAAGUCAUCUGUGGCUUUGGGUUCCCCAGACUAUGUUUUCUACUUCAAUGCAUAAUGCAGCAGUGGAAAUAAUAAUGAUUUUCCCAAACACUUGACCUCCGUUAGGAGUCAAUUUUAAUGUUAGGAGAAAGUGGUGCAAUAAAAGACAAAUAAAGUACAUUUAGCAUUCAUUUCCAAAUGUAGUCAUUCAAAUAGCAACACCUUUAUCAUUGUCAUCACUUUCUUUUUUCCUUAGCCUUACCAGUAAAACUCCAUUAAUGAAUCUACACAGUUGAAAAAGUGGUAGACUUAUUCUGAAAGAUGAGGCUUUGGCUUUACUGAAGCCAUUGAGCUUGCUUAGAACACACUAUUCAUUUUUUUCUUGGAAGCUUUUCUCUCUUUCAGAUAUUCAUUAAGAACUCAAAUUUCCUGGUAUCUAAAUCAAAGUAUCCUUUAAAGGUAUAUCACCUUCCUAAUUCUUAGCCUGGAAAAAAAUGUCAGAAAAUUCUUUAAACUCAUUUAGUGAAGUAUUUUAAAUGCUCAUCUUGCACUUUUGAGUGAAGUGUAAUUUACAUUUCAUAAAAGUAGAAGCCGAGUAGCAAGCUGUAAGUUAUUAUCAUAUAAUUAAAUGUCUACUAUGAAGGGAAUGAAAACGUGGGCUCCUUUGUGCCUUUCGUGACUGGGUUAUGCAAUAGCAAAUUAAAUUACAGCUCUUUAUCUCAGGAAGUCUCCAUGGGACCUACUGAGGGUUUUUAAAAUAUACCCCUGAGUUGCCAAUAUAGUUUCAGCUGAAACCUGAAGCAAUCACUUCACUGUCCAAGCAGACCACAUGGAAAUGGAAUCUGUAGCUUUGGUUUUAGAAUGGAAACCAAAGUGUCUACUCCUCUCAGUAACUUAGAAAACCCCUGUUUCCCUAGGUUAAUAUUUGUAAACAGGAAACACUAACAUGAUAAUUGGUAAUUAAUUAUUACUGUGGAUGAGCUUUAUUUAUUUAAAUUCACAAAGCAGUUGGCUUUAGGGAUAAUAAUCAAAUACUAAAUGCAUUUUAAUUAGUUGAAAUACUCCUAAUCUGAUCUUAUCUAAUAGUCACUUAAAAUAUGCAUUGUGUACUUGCUAAGUUCCAGAUGCUACGGGGCAUCAAAGGGUCAAAAAAGACAUGUUCUCUGCUCUGAAGGUGAUUACAGUCAGGAAGGGGAUAGAAGCUAUGCAUACAAAAAAUACAAUAUAAGGCAAAAUUAGAUAGUUAUCAGAGAAUCCAAGGUGGAGGAGCUCAGAGGAAGGAGCAAUCAUUUCUAUUUUUGGCUAAGUAGAGCAGGUAAGAUUUCAAGAAAAUAGUAUUUAAUUUGGUGGAUAAGGGAUAGAUUUAUUAUAGGAGGAGGUAUUGAGGAGCCCAUGAUCAAUUAUAUAAGUGGGAAACCAGCACAGGGUCUUCAGGGAAUGAAGUAGUUUGUUCCCUUAUUCAACAGUCACUGUGGCAAUUUAUUUAAAUUUGUGAAUACAAUUGUUAAGGUUUACAGACUUUCUUUUCAGUCAAAAGCUAUAAUAUGAUAUUCUUGAUAUUGUUUGGAGCAUUAGAUUCAUGUAGGGGUCUAGUGAGAGAUAUGGAUGAUGUAUUAUUUAAUUCCUGCAUUGCCAUGGAAAUACCUGAGAUGGGGUAAUUUAUAAAGAAAAGAGGUUUAAUUGGCUCACAUUCUGCAGGCUGUGCAGGAAGCAUGGCAGCAUUUGCUUGACUUCUGGGGAAAGAUCAGGAAACUUACAAUAAUGGCAGAAGGUGAAGGGGGAAGCAGGCACUUCUUACGUGGCAAGAGCAAGAGGAAGAGAGCAAGAAGGGGGAGAUAUCACACAUUUUUAAACAACCAGAUCUCAUGAGAACUCUAUCAUGAGAACAGCACUAGGGAGAUAGUGUGAAACGGGUAGAAACUGCCCCCAUGAUUCAAUCACCCCUCACUAGACCCCACCUCCAGCAUUGGGGAUCACAUUUCGACAUAUGUUUUGGGUAAGGACACAGAUCCACACCAUUUCAGAUGACAGUGGAAGUUGCAGCUGGAUUGCAAAGAUGAUUGGUCACCACUCCAAUGAAGACAGACUUUACUCAGAGAAUCAUUCAUUUAAAAAAUUAUUGAUGGACUAUUGUGUACCCAGCAUGUAGAAUACAGUUGCGGAUAUCUUUCCUGCCCAUAGGGAAAUGGGUUUAGUGCAGGAGCUGGUUGAGAGGUGUGAGGGCCCCUCUCUUACAGGAUGUGAGGUGUCAGGAAAGGCACGCCUUCUAGAGAUGGAAAUGUCUGAGUUGAAAUAUAAAGGACAGCAUAGGCUUUUCUGGAAUGAAGAUGGUAGGAAGGUGUUUCAAGCAGAGGGAACCUGUCAAAUCACUGAGGUGUAGAGAACCAGAGAGUUCCUGGUCUUGCUGGGCUUGAACCUAGGGUGUGAACUGAGUUGUAGAGAGUCAAUGCUAAAGGGGUCAAAAAGGGAUCUGAUAGUGAAAUACCCUAUAGAGGCUAUUGCAAUGAUUCAGUUGGAAAUGACAAGACCUUGAGUUAAAAAUAUAGUAACAGGGAAGAAGAAGAAGAAGGCAUACAUUUGAGAGAUAUUUAGGGGGUAGAAUUUACAUGAUUUGCUAAUCAAUUGCAUGUAAGUGAUGAGGUGGGUAAUGGAGAGUGAGUGCGAAUCUCAGGAUUGAACUUUGGUGUCAGGAAGUGCCAUUCAUUGAGGGGGAAACACAGGAGGAUAAGACUUGAUGGGGAAGUCCUGAGCUCAGUUUUACCUAUGUUGAGUGUGAGGUGCCUGUCAGAUACCCAAAUGAAGAUUGGAUAUAUUAUUUGGGGUGCAGGAAUGUAGUUUGUGCUACUGAUAUAGUCUUGAAAGUCAUCAGCAUUAGGAGUUAAAAAUCUGAAUGUCUACAGUAUCCAGAUAGGUGACAUACAUGAAUAAUUCUGUUUGGGGCUGAUAUGGGCCUAAGACAAAAAGAAGAGAUGAGCACAAGCCCUCCCCAAAGACAUUCAAGUUAGAAAUAAAUGUUGGAGGUUUCACCGGGGAAAAUGAAAAAAAAUCUGGUAAGCCAGCCAAACAAAACCCAGCUGCAGGCUGUAUGAAUCUUCAAGCAGCCAAUUUUCCAUACUUGAGACAUACGUAUGCAUAUAGAGUAGAUGUAGCUUUUAUGCAGGGGGAAUAUAUAGAGUACAGAAAAAGGACAAGGACAAAGGUCCAGAGGAGUAACACAAAAAACAAGCAGAUACUCCACUCCAGGUUGGGGAGGGAGAAGAAUGAGAGAAGGGAGAGAGAGAAGAAAAAGGAGAGGGAGAUGGAAAGAAAACCAGAGUAUGGUGUCCAGGAAGCAAGAGGAGAAGAAGAUUUUCAGGCAGGGAAUGGUUAACUGUGUUGAAUGCUACAGACUUAGAUCAAGAUUGUGAACUUUCUAUAGGAAUUUGUACCAUGGAGAGAUUGCUAGCUUGAAAUGAAGCCAUUUCAGUGGUGUAGUGGGGGCUAAAGCCAAACUAUAGUGGGCUGAGGAUUUAAUGGAGAAGAAGAAGUGGAGACUGUGAGUAUAGACAAGUCUUUCAAGAAAUUUGGUUGUGAAUGUGAGGUGAGCAGUUGGGUGGCAGCUGGCUAUUUAUCUGUACAUAUACACUGGGAGAGACAUGAGCAUACUUGUAUGCUAAAGAGAGAGGAUGAAGUUGAAGAUGUAAGAAUGAGAAGGAUCUGUUGAAGAGCUGAGGUCCCUGGAAAGGUGGAAAUAGAAGAGAUCCAGAGAAUAGGUGGAAGGAUUAGCCUUGAGAUAGAAGAAAUGGCACCUUUUCUAUGGAAAUUGAAGAUAAUUUCAUUUAACAAAGAUUUAUGUAGCCUCUGUACCCUGCCAGAUACUGUUCUAGGUACUGAAGAUGUAGCAGUUUGAAAAACCAGGACAAAAAUCCCUGCCUGGAUGGAACUUACAUUCCAGAAAGAAUGAAGUAUGUACAAGAGCAAAUACAUAAAAGCAGGGAUGAAACAUUGGAAAUGUAGUUGAAACAUUCUUAUUUGAUGACCUCAAUUUUCUCUGUGACUGAAGGAAGAGAUCUUAUGUUACUGGACAUAGAAAAUAUUGGAUUGGGGUUUGUGUGAAAGAAGGGCCUAGGAACAGAAAAAGAAACUUCUGAGCAGCAACUAGACUCCUACUUGUCUUGCAGUAGAGGAAUGAUGCACAAACUUUUCUGUAAAGGACCAGAUAGAAUAAUAUUUUCUAUAUCUACAGAAGUCUUGCUGGGAUUUUGAUAGAAAUUACAUUAAAUCUGUUUAUCAACUUGGGGAGAAUUUGCAUCCUUACUGUGCUGAGUUCCCAAUCCAGAACAUGUUAUGUAUCUCUAUUUAUUUAGAUUAUUUUUUAUUUCUUUUCAUUAGCAUUGUGUAGUUUUCAGUGUAUAAGUUCCGCAUGUGUUUUAUUAGAUUUACACUUAAGUAUUGGAUUUUAAAAGGAAUUUAAAUGGUACUAUAUUUUGAACUUCAGUGUCUACAUUUCAUUACUAUUAUAUAGAAAUACAAUUAAUUUUUGUAUCAUUAUCUUCUGUCCUCCAACCUUGCUGAAUUCAUUUACUAGUUUUGGAGGUUUUUGUAGAUUUCUUUGGAUGUUCUCUGUAGGCAUCUUCAAAUCUGGGUAGUUUUAUUUAUUCUCCAUCUGCAUGCCUUUUAUGUUCUUUACUUUCUUUAUCGGACUGGCUAGAUCUUCUAACAUUAUGUUGAGUAAGAGUGGUGAAAUGGACAUCCUUGCCUUGUUCUUGAUCUUAAGGGGAAACUAUCCAGUCUUUCAUCAUGAAGUAUGAUGUUAACUUUAGGAUUUAUGUAGAUGUUCUAUAUCAAGUUGAGAAAGUUCCUCUCUAUAUUUUUCUGAGAAUUUUUGUAGUGAAUUGGUAUUAAUUUUUUCAAACACUUUUCCUGCAUUGAUCAAUAUGUUCAUAUAAGGUUUCUUCUUUAAUCUUUUAAUAUGGUAAAUUACAUUGAUUGAUUUUUGUAAUAUUGUACCAGCUUUGCUUCUGUCUUUAUCCAUUGUUUGUUGCUAUAAUAGAAUACUAUAGACUAGGUAAUUUACAAAGAAAAGAGAUCUAUUUCACUCACGGUUCUGGAGGCUGGCAAGUCCAAGAGCAUGGUGUUGGCAUCUGGUGAGGGUCAUCUCAUGGUGGAAGAUAUCACAUGAUGAGGAAGCACACAGGAAAGACAGAGAGAAAAGAUGGGGGAUAAACUUAUUUUUUAAACUAGGAGCCUGUUCCUAUGAUAACUAAACCACUCCUGUGAUAACAGCAUUAAUCCAUUACCUUUUAAAGACCCCAUCUCUUAAUGUUGUUACAGUGGCAAUUAAGUUUCCAGUACAUGAACUUAUGGGGGACACAAUGAAACCAUAGUAUUCUCUCCUGGCCCUCCAAAUUCAUAUUCUUCUCACAGGUAAAAUACAUUCACUUUAUCCCAAUAGUCCCAAAAGUCUUAACUUUUUCAGCAUCAACUCAAAUGUCCUGAUAUAUAAUAAUGUUUUGUUAUCCUAAAUGUCUCGAAAUAGAGUCACUUACAAAAAGUGACUCAGCCCACAGUGAAGUUGCUGACACAUCAAAGUGAUAAACAUAUAUAUAAUGGACUGAGGUGAUAACACCUACUGUGGCCAGGCACACUCCAGACCUGACAGGAAAGUGAGGCUGAGAUAGUGACCAUGGAUACUCCUGUGGAGGGCCAUAAAAAAAAAAAGAAACUGACCAUGACUAAGAUGCCUAAAGAAACUCUGCCAAUGAGAACUCCAAGGCCUCUUGGUAAUGGCUGCUGGAAACUGCCUUAGAAGAGCAGUGACUUCCCUCACUGGUCAGCAUUUUGAAGGAAAUCAAGAGCUGCCCAGUUUGUCUAUCAGUGUGCUGGUCUCCUGAAUUACUCGCCAUGGUUUGUUCUUCUUCUUUCUUAUUACUGCCUUUAUGUGUUAAAUAUAUUUGCAUGAUUAUUGGUGUGUGAAAGCCUCACAAUAAACCUUAAAUUUGAAAGCACUUAAUUGGCCACUGAGCCACUUUGAAACCUUUCCCCAUUCUUGGAUUUAGAACAACUAGGCUGAUUCAAACCUGACACAAAAAAUCAAAAGUCCAAAGUCUUAUCUGAAUCAGAUAUGAGUGAGACUUAAGGCAUGAUUCAUUCUGAGGCAAAUUCCUUCCAGCUAUGAACCUGUGAAAUCAAAACAAGUUAUCUACUUCCAGAAUACAAUGUGGGACAGGUAUAGGAUAGACAUUUUGAUUCCAAAAGGGAGAAAUAGGCAAAAAGAAAGAAGUAACAAGCCCUAAGUAAGUCCAAAACCCAACAGGGAAACAUUAAGUCUUAAACCUGCUUUGACUCCAUGUAUCACUUCCUGGAUGCACUGAGGUGGGAGUUGGGCCCCGAAGGCCUCAGGCAAUACAGCCCCUAUGGCUUUUCAGGGCUCAGUCUAUCCGGCAGCUCUCAUUGGUAGAAGUUUCAUGUCUGCAGUUCUCCCAGGCUGGCAUUGCAUGUUUGGACCUCUAUAGUGCUGAAGUCUUAAGGGCAGCCCUACCCCUGCAACUCCACUAAGCAUUGCCUUAGUGGGGAAGUUCUCUAUGGUGGCUCUACCUUUGUAGUAGGUUUCUCCCUGGACUUUCAGGCAUUUUGUGGCAUCCUUUGAAAUCUAGGUGGAGGAAGCCAUUCCUCCACAGCUCUUGCAUUCUGUGUAUCUGUAGAAUUAACACCAUGUAGAUGCUGCCAAGGCUUAUGACUUAGACUUUUUGGAGCAGCAAGUCAAGCCAUACCUGGACCCACUGAGCCAUGAGUGCAGCAGCUGAAGAGUGCUGCACCAGAAUGCAGGGAGCAGAGUCCUGAGGAGGCUUUGGGCAGUGAGCCCAUGGAAGACACCCAGGACCUGUCCCCUGAAAUCAUUCUGUCCUCCUAUAGCUCUGGGCCUGUGAUUGGAGGGGCAGCCUCAAAAAUCUUUAAAAUUCCUUCAGGGUCUUUUUCUCCCAUUGUUUUCAUGAAUAGCACCUGGCUCUGUUCUAUCAAUACUAAUCUCUUUAGCAAAUGAUUGCUUGGUCACAAUCUUAGUAUUAUAUUCUUAGCACUAUUUUUUUUAGACAGGGUCUUGCUCUUUCACCCAGGCUGAAGUGCAGUGGUGCAAUCUUGGCUCACCGCAACCUCUGCCUCUUAGGCUCAAGCAAUCCUCCCACCUCAGCCUCCCGAGUAGCUGGGACCACAGGUGCAUGCCACCAUGCCUGGUGAAUUUUUUGUAGAGACAGGGUUUUGCUGUGUUGCCCAUGCUGGUCUCAUACUCCCAAGCUCAAGAAAUCCACCUGCGUUAGCCUCCCAAAGUGCUGGGAUAACAGGCGUGGGCCACUGCACCUGGCCUAUUCUUCAUAUUCCAGAGUAUGCUUUUUCAGUCUUUACAUGGCCAGCCUGUGAAUUUUCCUUAUCUUUCUGUUUGGCUUAUCUUUUUAAGUAUAAAUUUCAUCUUUAAGUCAUUCUUUGGCUUUCACAUCUCGCUGUAUGUGGCUAAAAGUAGCCAUGCAGCAGCCUGAAUACAUUGCUGCUUAGAUAUUUCUUCCAUUAGAUAUCCUAGUUCAUUGCUCUUAAGUUCUGCAUUUCAUGAAGUCCUAGGACACAGACACAAUUCAGCCAAGGUCUUUGCUACUUUAUAACAAGGAAGGUUUUUUCUUCAAUUUCUAAUAUUUUGUUUCUCAAAUCAUUCUGUGACCCCAUCAGAAUGGCCUUUGCUGUCCAUAUUUCUAUCAGCAUUCUGGUCAUGACCACUUCAGUAAUCUCUAAGAAGAUUUAGACUUCCUCUGUAGCUCUCCCCUUAGGAGCCCUCAAGAGAAACUUAAUGCUCUGUUCAUGCCAAUUUAGACUUUUUCUAGCCUGCUGCUCCAAAUUCUUCCAGGCUCUAACAAUUAUUCAGUUCCAAAGCUGCUUCCACAUUUUCAGGCAUUUUUAAUAGCAAUAGCUCCAUUUCUUGGUACCAGAUUUCUGUCUUAAUUUAUUUUCUGCUGCUAUAACAGAAUACUUUAGACUGAGUAAUUUAUAAAAAAGAAAAAGAAAUUUAUUUGGCUUACAAUUCUGGAGGCUGAGAAGAACAUGGUGUGCCAUCUGGUGAGGGUCAGUCCAUGGUAGAAGAGUGGAAGGCAGAAUUGAGCAUGCAAGACAGAGAGAAAAUAGGAGCUAAAUUUAUCCAUUUAUUAUGAGCCUACUCCUGUAUAACUAUCUCGUUGUCAUAAUGACAAUCCAUUCAUGAGAGUGAAGCCCUCAUGACUUACUCACCUCUUUUAUACCUCACCUCCCAAUACCAUCACAGUGGCAAUUAAAUUUCAACAUGAGUUUUGAUGGGGACAUUCAAACCACAUCAGCAUCCAUGGCUUAAACCCUACUUGAGCAUGUUGUUUAAUUACUUUUAUGUGUUGCUGAAUUGUUUUUUUCUAGUACUUUGUUAGGGAUUUUUGCAUCUAUAUUCAUGAGGGAUAUUGUUUGGUACAUUUCUGUACUGUCUUUGUCUGAUUUUCUUAUCAGGAUAAUAUUAGCUUUAUAAAAGGAAUUGAGAAGUGUUCCCUCCUAUUGUCUGGAAGAUAUUGUGUGGACUUACUGUUAAUUCUUCUUUAAAUAUUUCAUUUAAUUCUCCGGUGAAACAAUCUGGACCUGAAGAUUUCUUUUUGUGAAGUUUUAAAAUUAUGAAUUUAAUUUUGUUAUAAUGCCAUUGAAAUGAUAUAUUUUAUAUUGGGUGAGGUUGUGGUAGUAUUUUUUUUGAGAAAUUGGUUCAUAUCAUGUAUGUUGCCAAAUUUAUGUAUGUAGAGAUGUUGGUACUGUUCCCUUUUUACCCUUUUGAUGUCUGCGGGGUCCAUAGUGAUAUCUUGUUUUAUCCCUGAUAUUGAUAAUUCAUCUUUUUUUUUGAGACAAGGUCUCACUUCAACGCCCAGGCUGGGUGAUGCAAUCGUGGCUCACUGCAGUCUCAACUUCCCAGGUUGAAGCAAUCCUCCCACAUCAGCCUCCCAUGUUGCUGGGGGGUACAGGUGUGUGCCACCACGCCUGGUUAAUUAUUUUUUGUACUUACUGUGGAGACAGGGUUUUGCCAUGUUGUUCAAGUGGCUGUCGAACUCCUGGGCUCAAGUGAUCCACCUGCCCAGGCCUCCCAAAAUGCUCAGAUUACAGGCGUGAGCCACUGUGCCUGUUAGAUAAUUUGUGUCUUCUCUUUUUACCUGGUCAGAGGUAAACAAUAGAGGUGUGUCAACUCUAUUGAUCUUUUAAAAGAACUAGCUCUUUGUUUCAAUGACUUUAUUGUUUCUCUGUUUUCAACUUCAUUGACUUCUCUUUUUAAAAUUUUAAAAAAUUUUGUGGGUAUGUUUAUGUAGUAGAUAUAUAUUUAUGGGUUACAUGAGAUAUUUGAUAUAGGCAUGCAAUGUGUAAUAAUUACAACAGAAUAAAUGGGGUAUUCAUCCCCUCAAGCACUUAUCAUUUUUGUUGCAAACAAUUUAAUUAUACUUUUAGUUAUUUAAAAUAUGCAGUUAAGUUACUUUGACUAUAGUCACCCUGUUCUGCUAGCAAAUACUAGGUCUUAUUCAUUCUAUUUUUUUGUACCACUAACCAUCCCCAAGCAUCCCCACUUCUGCCCCACAUCCUCAUUACCCUUCCUAGCCUUUGGUAAGCAUCCUUUUACUCUCUAUAUUGAUGACUUCAAUUGUUUUAAUUUUCAUUCCCACAAAUAAGUGAGAACAUGUGAUAUUUGUCUUUCUGUGCCUGGCUU